CCCAAGCCCAUGGGAAUUCUUCCAUGUGGCAUUUUAAAUAAAAAGGGUCAAAAUUGUAUGGGAUUCACUAGAACAUUUCAAGACAACAAACAAGAGAGAGAGAGAGCCAAAGACUAAGAGGGUUUCGGCUAGAGAGAGGAAGAGAAAGAAAAAAAUUUAGCUCAUCAAUUCUUGGUCCAAAAAUCAUAAUCUUCUAGUUUUCCUAUUAAGUUGGAAACCCUCUUCAAUGUGAUACAAAUUUGGAAGCAAAAGAGUACUUUUUUUACAAAGUGGAAAUUCUUGAAGAAAAAGAUUCUGAGCGAAACGGGAUUUGGAGUUUUGGACGAGCGUAAGACGUAUAUAAGGUACAGAUACCAGUGAUCCACCACUGUAGGCUCCACUUUCUGCUAUUUCGGAGUACUCCCUUUUGAUCCGGAGUCCACUUUUGGUACAUACAUCUUUUGCUAUGUAUAUACUUCUGUAUAUCUGACUAUUUGGGUACGGCGGGGCCC